rnacentral:rRNA from 1 species
GUGCACCAGGCGCGAAUCUUCGGCAAUGGGCGCAAGCCUGACCGAGCGACGCCGCGUGGAGGACGAAGGCCUUCGGGUUGUAAACUCCUGUCGAGGGGGAAGAAGGCCCCGCGAGGGGCUUGACUGAUCCCUGGAGGAAGCACGGGCUAAGUUCGUGCCAGCAGCCGCGGUAAGACGAACCGUGCGAACGUUAUUCGGAAUCACUGGGCUUAAAGCGCGUGUAGGCGGGACGGCACGUCGGUCGCUGAAAGCCCCCGGCUCAACCGGGGAACGGGCGCCGAUACGACCGCCCUGGAGGGACGUAGGGGGACCUGGAACUUCCGGUGGAGCGGUGAAAUGCGUUGAAAUCGGAAGGAACGCCCGUGGCGAAAGCGAGGUCCUGGACGUCUUCUGACGCUGAGACGCGAAAGCCAGGGGGAGCGAACGGGAUUAGAUACCCGUGUAGU